rnacentral:rRNA from 1 species
CUACGGGCUGCUGCAGUGGGGAAUAUUGCACAAUGGGCGCAAGCCUGAUGCAGCCAUGCCGCGUGUAUGAAGAAGGCCUUCGGGUUGUAAAGUACUUUCAGUCGUGAGGAAGGUGGUGCAGUGAAUAGCUGCAUUAUUUGACGUUAGCGACAGAAGAAGCACCGGCUAACUCCGUACCAGCAGCCGCGGUAAUACGGAGGGUGCGAGCGUUAAUCGGAAUUACUGGGCGUAAAGCGCAUGCAGGUGGUUUGUUAAGUCAGAUGUGAAAGCCCGAGGCUCAACCUCGGAAGGUCAUUUGAAACUGGCAGGCUAGAGUACUGUAGAGGGGGGUAGAAUUUCAGGUGUAGCGGUGAAAUGCGUAGAGAUCUGAAGGAAUACCGGUGGCGAAGGCGGCCCCCUGGACAGAUACUGACACUCAGAUGCGAAAGCGUGGGGAGCAAACAGGAUUAGAUACCCCCGUAGUC